AAUCUGUAGAAACUAGGACUCGAAUAAAAAACGAACGUUAUGAAUCAGGUGUUAUACCUUAUGCGAAAAUGGGCUAUUGGGAUGCGGACUAUAGCAUUAAAGAUACGGAUAUCUUAGCUAUGUUUCGCAUGACUCCACAGAAAGGAGUAGACCCUAUAGAAUGUGCUGCUGCUAUUGCUGGAGAAUCUUCAACGGCUACAUGGACUGUCGUGUGGACAGAUCUUUUAACAGCUUGUGAUCUUUAUAGAGCUAAGGCUUACAGAGUUGAUCCUGUCCCUGGGGCUGUGGAUCAAUAUUU
rnacentral:sRNA from 1 species